GGAAGUAAAGGUCGUAACAAGGUUUCCGUAGGUGAACCUGCGGAAGGAUCAUUACUGAGUGAGGGCCCCUCGGGGUCCAACCUCCCACCCGUGUUUAACGAACCUUGUUGCUUCGGCGGGCCCGCCUCACGGCCGCCGGGGGGCAUUUGCCCCCGGGCCCGCGCCCGCCGAAGCCACCUGUGAACGCUGUCUGAAGUAUGCAGUCUGAGACAAUUAUUAAAUUAAUUAAAACUUUCAACAACGGAUCUCUUGGUUCCG
rnacentral:misc_RNA from 1 species